rnacentral:lncRNA from 1 species
UUCUCAUCUGCCUUUGAUUUAAGUCAUUUACUCUUUGAAGAUAAGUGGUGGUCCACCUCACUUGUAUAAGUUUGUAGCAAAUAAAAUCACACUUUUACUUUGGAUGUAGCUGACUGAUACCUAUUGUUGUGGUCUUCAGGGAUCCUCCCAUGGAGUCAGAAGGGUUCCGUUAAGCACUGUCUCAUGCCAGCAUUUUCCUGGACUUGCUUUCCGCCAAAGACUAUGACACUCUCUGAUUAUUUCAUUCAACCUUGAGCAAGAUCUACUGGCCCUUCUCCAGACUAUGGUCCAUGAUGCUAUCACAUGUUGUAAAAGGAAGAACCAAAGGUCAUGAAUUGAGGCUGAAUCCCAGAAUCCUGUUGUUGAAGGAGAAGAGCCUGACCUGGAAGGUAUUUUAUCAUAGCAACAGAAAUUAACCCAGGACAGCAGGAUAUCAUUCAGUGCUCCUUCUGGGUUGGGUGUUUUCUGGUGAGUAUCUGCAUGAGAUAGCAAAAUUUAUGUGCUAUGCUUCUACUUUUUAGUGUGCCUA